rnacentral:rRNA from 1 species
AUGGAUGCACUCGGUGAUGAUAGAUGGAAAGCGGCCAUGAAUGAUGAAUACAUGGCCUUGCAGAAGAAUAAGACAUGGCAUCUUGUUCCUCGUCAACAAAGCAGAAACUUGAUUGACUGCAAGUGGGUAUACCGGAUUAAGAGAAAAUCAGAUAGCACCAUAGAUCGUUACAAGGCAAGACUUGUGGCGAAGGGGUUCAAGCAAAGGUAUGGGAUAUAUUAUGAGGACACUUUUAGUCCAGUUGUUAAAGCUGCAACAAUUCUCCUUGUACUGUCCAUUGAUGUUUCUAGGGGAUGGAGCCUUCGACAGCUAGAUGUACAGAAUGUGUUUCUUCAUGGUGUUCUGGAAGAAGAGGUGUACAUGAAACAACCUCCUGGGUUUGAAGAUAGAAAUAAGCCAUUCCAUGUAUUAAAUCUUGAUAAAGCACUGUAUGGUUUAAAACAGGCCCCGAGAGUAUGGUACUCAAGACUAAGUGUUAAGCUCCAAGCACUUGGGUUUACUCCAGCAAAAUCUGACACCUCCUUAUUUAUUUUCAACAAACCUCAGAUAUCCAUGUUUGUUCUCAUAUAUGUUGAUGAUAUUAUUGUUACUAGCUCAUCCAAUGAUGCAGUGACAAAAUUGCUCAAGAAUUUAGGUUUUGAGUUUGCUCUCAAGGAUUUGGGAGACCUACAUUUCUUUUUGGGUAUUGAGGUUAAUAAAAAUAGUAAUGGUCUUCAUUUGUCUCAAGCUAAGUAUGCAACCGAGCUGUUGAAUAGGAUUGGCAUGCAAAACUAUAAACCCUGA